rnacentral:rRNA from 1 species
GGCUCAGGAUGAACGCUAGCUACAGGCUUAACACAUGCAAGUCGAGGGGAAACGAUAUUGGAAGCUUGCUUCCGAUAGGCGUCGACCGGCGCACGGGUGAGUAACGCGUAUCCAACCUGCCCACCACUUGGGGAUAACCUUGCGAAAGUAAGACUAAUACCCAAUGAUAUCUCUAGAAGACAUCUGAAAGAGAUUAAAGAUUUAUCGGUGAUGGAUGGGGAUGCGUCUGAUUAGCUUGUUGGCGGGGUAACGGCCCACCAAGGCGACGAUCAGUAGGGGUUCUGAGAGGAAGGUCCCCCACAUUGGAACUGAGACACGGUCCAAACUCCUACGGGAGGCAGCAGUGAGGAAUAUUGGUCAAUGGACGAGAGUCUGAACCAGCCAAGUAGCGUGCAGGAUGACGGCCCUAUGGGUUGUAAACUGCUUUUAUAAGGGAAUAAAGUGAGAGUCGUGACUCUUUUUGCAUGUACCUUAUGAAUAAGGACCGGCUAAUUCCGUG